rnacentral:rRNA from 1 species
UACGUAGGGUGCGAGCGUUGUCCGGAAUUAUUGGGCGUAAAGAGCUCGUAGGCGGUGUGUCACGUCGUUCGUGAAAACCUGCAGCUUAACUGUGGGCGUGCGGUCGAUACGGGCAUCACUGGAGUUCGGCAAGGGAGACUGGAAUUCCUGGUGUAGCGGUGAAAUGCGCAGAUAUCAGGAAGAACACCAAUGGCGAAAGCAGCUUUCUGGGACGGUACUGACGCUGAGACGCGAAAGCGUGGGGAGCGAACAGG